rnacentral:rRNA from 1 species
CCUACGGGUGGCUGCAGUGGGGAAUAUUGCACAAUGGGCGCAAGCCUGAUGCAGCCAUGCCGCGUGUGUGAAGAAGGCCUUCGGGUUGUAAAGCACUUUCAGCGGGGAGGAAGGCGGUGAGGUUAAUAACCUCAUCGAUUGACGUUACCCGCAGAAGAAGCACCGGCUAACUCCGUGCCAGCAGCCGCGGUAAUACGGAGGGUGCAAGCGUUAAUCGGAAUUACUGGGCGUAAAGCGCACGCAGGCGGUCUGUCAAGUCGGAUGUGAAAUCCCCGGGCUCAACCUGGGAACUGCAUUCGAAACUGGCAGGCUAGAGUCUUGGAGAGGGGGGUAGAAUUCCAGGUGUAGCGGUGAAAUGCGUAGAGAUCUGGAGGAAUACCGGUGGCGAAGGCGGCCCCCUGGACAAAGACUGACGCUCAGGUGCGAAAGCGUGGGGAGCAAACAGGAUUAGAUACCCCUGUAGUC